rnacentral:tRNA from 1 species
GUUUAUAUAAUUUAAAUAAAAUAUUAGACUGUGACUGUAACCAUAAGAGUUAAAAUCUCUGAUAAUGGGUAUGGUAUUAU